GCCGAAGUGGCGGAAUUGGCAGACGCGUCGGUCUCAAAAACCGAUGGUUUAACGGCCGUGCCGGUUCGACCCCGGCCUUCGGCACCA
rnacentral:tRNA from 1 species